rnacentral:lncRNA from 1 species
ACGAGCACGUUGCUGAACGACAGUAGGUCAGAAGAAAUUGUUCUGUUCAGAAGCCAAGUCCCAGCAGUGCUCUGCGGUCCUGGAGUGCCUGAUGGGAGAUGGCAUCCCAAACCCAAUGGCAGAGAAGUCCCUCCACAGAGUGGAAGAAAAGGAACAAUCCUGAUAUGUAAAUUCAGAGAGGCAAGGCCUAUAAAAUAUUUUGCAACUAGGGAAAAAUUGAUGUCAGGAACUGGGAAUGCCAGAAGGAGUGCUUGGAGAGCAAGUGCCUGUGGGAUGUGUCCAAAUGGGUUUGGCCUGCAAGGUUCAAGAAGUACCUGCAUUUAAUGCCAAUAUGGAAACGAAGAAUUGCAAGUACUGUAUAGAGCUUUAACCCUAUCAGUACAACUGAACAGAGAUGGAAGCCUAUAGAUGAGCCAGAGAAAUGCUGCCCCUAAAAAUGAGUUUCUGGUCAUGUGUUUUUCCAAGAGGAUCCUUUCUGGCCUGACGUGCUCCAUUUAUUCUCUUCAUGCUUUGCAAACUCAAUGCUGUAGCUAAAUAUGAAAACAUCGGGAACAGCUGUACUUCUGCUGAACACAUCGGAAGCACUGAGCGUCUUCGUUCCUCGUAGUACUUUUGUUUACAGCCCAUAAUCUUAUAAGUACAAGAUAACUCCUGCCUGCUGCUGCACUGGGACGUAUUUUCUCCUCUAUUGCAGAAUAAUAAAAAAUAAUUAUUAUUAUUCUCAGUGCUCAGAUUUUCUUGACAGUGACAGCCCCUUGGCUGCUAAAUCUGCUGUUCCAUCCAUCACCCACAUCAGGGAAAGCAGGCAAGAGCUUCUCUGUGACUUAUCUGGGUCUUUAGCAGAUCAAUACCACCGCUCGGAUGUUUCAGACCCUUU